GCAAACAAAGAAAGCUGUGUUUCAGAAUGGCAGUAGAAUAAAGUUGCUUUUAAGGCUCCGAUCUGAUUCGGAUAGGGUGGAUGAAGCGUUCUGUUGUGGGGUAGAACCUAUGCAGGGAGAAUUCCCACCUGCGGUAGAUUUAAUCAGCUCCGUGUGGGUGCGCUUUGCAGGAGAGCGAUGAACGAACGGCUGCGGCUCGCGGGCCGUUUCGCAGCACAGCUGUGCGGGGCUCUGCAGCCACGCGGCGGCAUUUGGACAACGAAGUUCUGUUCCAAGGAGGUGGUGACAUCCAGAAAAAACAGCCUGCGAAACGCUUGCCUCACCUCAGCGUUCUGUAUCUUGGCCGCGGCCUUUCCACGCGCUUUAAAUUUGCAUCGCUUUUCCUCUUGAGUACCUGAGGGGACCGCUCUGCAGUGCCACGAGGUGCAGAGCUGCGGGUCAGACGUUGGGCCUCCUUGUCCCGCCCUGCCGGCGAUGUGUGCUCUGCAGUGUGAACUUUCACUCAGAAACCAGCACUAGGAGUAAGAAGUGGGCGUUUACAUCAUUGUUCUUAAGGCAUCUAUCAGUGUCUACAGCAAGAUCCCAUCUGAUAAAGGAACAUUCUGCUUUGGGAACAUGAACAUGCUAUAGAGAGCACUUAUGUGCAGAAACCUCUGCAAGGAGCCCUUCUUCUUAUUGCACUUACUGCUGACUACAGGUUUAUUCCAUGAACAGAAAGGGAGACAAUAGCCUGAUCUUCCCCCUCUUCGUGUACCAGCAAGACUUCAGGAUGGCAGUCUUUGAUGAGAUUCUGAAACAUCAAAUCAGAAAAUGCUUUCUCCCUUCCCAGCUUGAAAGUUCAAAAUUUGUUUGGACCGGUGAUGCUGCAAAUAAAUAAAAGAAAGAAUGACCUGAAUUACUUGAGCAAUCCCCUGGGACUGAGGCAGGAAGCGUUUGAAACAUGAAAAGUUGCACCCGUGUUCAAACGAGAGAGGCCCUAGUUAAUUAUUUACAGCAGCUGAAAGCUCAUCAAAAAUUUAACCAAGAUUUAUUUCUCUGUGACUCUGCAGGCACCACAAUAUGCAGCAGUGGAGGCUUCAGCUGCCUUCAGUGAAGCUCCUGAGUUUUCACCUCCCGGCUUGUCGGUGCUGGCUCAGUGCUUGCAGUGAAUCCUUUCCUCCUAUCUGUCAGCGAUGCACACUAGUAGGGUGGAUUCCAAUUGCAUGCAAAUAAAUAGCAUGCAGCAUCUGAACUGCUGCUGGGAGGCUCUGUGGUGGCCCUCAACAGCCUUCAGCUGUGGCAAGGCUGUGACCCGUCACUGUCAGUAGAUGAUAUCAAAUACAAACCUACCUGCGGCUUAGCUCUGCUCCUCUCCCAUCUACAGGUUUGUCUGAUGUCCCGAGCGCUGCCCGGGUGUUCCAGCGGCACCAACAGAGGCUGACUGAUGGGCUCCAGUUCAGACAUACGAAGGGUGGCAAGCAGAGGCAGCGUUCUGAGACCGCAAGUCCCUCAGAACUGGAUGUCCUCAUCCCCAGGGCUGUCAGCCACACCGUGUCCUGUCCCUGCCGGCUGCACAGCAACAGUGGCGACACGGCUGCAUUGCUGGGGAGAUGGAAGCCCAACGUGUGUCAUCUCUGAGGCUGCUCGAGUUCCUCUUCAGCGCUUUGCAGGGGAAGACCAGAGAAAUAAUAAGGCUUUGUAUGAGUGAUAAGACUGUAUCGUGAUGGCUGUUCGCUUCCUAACAGAUGGGACAGAGAUGCAGGUAGGGUGGAGGGGCCACAAAGGCAACUGAUGGAGAAGUUUCUUUGGAGUCUGCUGUUCUUUUUUGCUUCAUUUAUAUUUCAUUAGGCAUGAAAUUACGUUUAUAAUUGUAUUAGACAACUGUGUGAGAUAUUAGAUCAUAAGCCUAGACUGAAUUAAAGCCAUUUUUAAUUAGUUAU
rnacentral:lncRNA from 7 species